AGGGCCUUGGUCUCAGAGCCGCCAUUCUCCGGAUCCACUUCUGGCUUUUCCUCCUGUGCUCAGGAGCCCCAGGUUUCUGUGCGACACAGGGAAGGAGAGACUCAGAGGAAGAACGCGGGGCAGAGUGAAGAGCAGGAAAUGUUGCACAUGAAAAUUCAUUUUGGUAUGAUUAUUGAAGCAUGGAAUAUAUCUCUAAUGAGGUCCAAUUUCUUCUGGAUGUUCAUGAUUGUGAAAAUACUAUGGUGUAUUCGCACAGACACAUUAUCACAAUAUUUUGUGUUAAGAUUCACCAGUGAAGAAUUGACUGUGUGAUCCUUGUUAUCUCAACCUGUCAAGUCUUCCUAGUCCUGUCCUUCAGAAAUGAUCGAUAUAAGAUGCCCACAUCUGCUGUGUCCAUAACUCCAUGGGGUAUGUAGUGAAUUUCAACCUCUGAGUCUUGUCCUCUUGGAGAGCAGUUUGAAUUGUUGGGUGGAGUCUCUCAAGAGAGUAGCUGGAUGCCCUAGAACCUGGAGGAAUCUCUUGACAUUAAGUGAUUCUAAAUAUUAUUCCAGUGGCCCAGGAGGCUGAGGCAGGAGGAUCACAAUUUAAAACCAGCUGCAGCAACUUAACCAGGCACUGAGCA